rnacentral:lncRNA from 1 species
UCAAUUUUAUCACGAACAAGCAACAAAAAGAACAAAAUCGGUGGUACGUAUGUCAUAAUAGAACAAAAAAAUUAAUAAAGACAAAAAGAAAUUCUUACCUAUUCGAAGAAAACUCCACUAUCGUAUGGAGUCGAUCAAUCGAAACUUCGUUCUUCAAUAUUCAAAACAGUAGCACAAAUUUUUUUGAAAUUCAGUACUACUAUUUGUUCAGCAGCUGCGUUGUUUUUUGAAAAC